rnacentral:rRNA from 1 species
CGCAUCUGUGCAUGCAGCAUAUCAAUAAGCGGAGGAAAAGAAACUAACAAGGAUUCCCUUAGUAACGGCGAGUGAAGCGGGAAGAGCUCAAAUUUGAAAUCUUCAAGGUUUUACCUUGACGAAUUGUAGUUUAAAGAAGUGUUUUCUGUUGAAGUUUUGGUAAAAGUUCUUUGGAAUAGGACAUCAUAGAGGGUGAGAAUCCCGUAUUUGACCAUUAUUUUCAGCUGUGUGAUACACUUUCAAAGAGUCGGAUUGUUUGGGAAUGCAGUCCAAAAUGGGUGGUAAAUUUCAUCUAAAGCUAAAUAUUGGCGAGAGACCGAUAGCGAACAAGUACCGUGAGGGAAAGAUGAAAAGAACUUUGAAAAGAGAGUUAAACAGUACGUGAAAUUGUCAAAAGGGAAGCGUUUGACACCAGUGUUGUUUUCUCGAAAAUCAAUUAAAAAGAGUUUAGAUUUUGUUGUGUAUUGACCUUAACAGCUUGCAUUUCAAUUUUCUUGCUUUUUUUAAUGCACUUUUCGUUUAACAAGUCAACAUCAGUUUCUUUUGUUGUAAAAAGGUCAUUGGAAGGUGGCUUUCUUUUCGGAGAAAGUGUUUAUAGCCUUUGACUCCUGCAAUCGGAGAGACUGAGGUCUGCAGUGUAGAUCCUUCGGGGUUAGAUACAUUUGUGCUAAGUUAUAGCUUUUUAUAGACAACUUGUUGACUAUGAUUAGUCUUGUAGCUUACUCGCUUAUGCUAUUUUACCUACGCUUAGGAUGUUGAUGUGAUACUGCGAGCA